GAUAAUAUUCUGGUCAGCACAUUUGAUAAACUACAGUUGUACAUGGAACUCAUUAAAUCACUUCUUUUUCUUUCAGUGGUCUUCAACUUUUAAUCUCCAAGAAGGAAAUGUAAUUAAAAGAUGAAUAAAGUAUCCCUAAGAAUACCAGAAGAAAGGCUGUGUUGAGAAAAACAGCCCUUCCUCAGUACCUCAGAACUAGAUGAUAGCCCUUGUUACUUUAUGCUGAAUAUGACACAGUAUAGAAGAUCUGAUCAUGAAGAAGUUACACCAUUGAUACACUUGCCAACUGCCAAAACUACUUUCUGAUAGUAUGACGAGAUUAGAAGAUAUCAUGGUGUAGUCAUGACACAAACUGCAAAUCAAAGAUUGUCUUCCCCAGAGGAUGAACAGAGUGCUUCACAUGGAUAACAUUUCCUUUUCGAGUUUUGAAAUUAUCAAACAUAAUUUUGCAUCAAAGAGAAAAAGUGGCUUUGACAUAACCUAGAAAA